UACGUAGGGCGCAAGCGUUUGUCCGGAAUUAUUGGGCGUAAAGAGCUCGUAGGCGGUCUGUUGCGUCCGCUGUGAAAACUCGGGGCUUAACCCCGAGCCUGCAGUGGAUACGGGCAGACUAGAGGUAGGUAGGGGAGAAUGGAAUUCCCGGUGUAGCGGUGAAAUGCGCAGAUAUCAGGAGGAACACCGGUGGCGAAGGCGGAUCUCUGGGCCUUACCUGACGCUGAGGCGCGAAAGCUAGGGGAGCGAACAGG
rnacentral:rRNA from 1 species